rnacentral:rRNA from 1 species
AGUGAACGCUGGCGGUAGGCCUAACACAUGCAAGUCGAACGGCAGCACAGUAAGAGCUUGCUCUUACGGGUGGCGAGUGGCGGACGGGUGAGGAAUACAUCGGAAUCUACUUUUUCGUGGGGGAUAACGUAGGGAAACUUACGCUAAUACCGCAUACGACCUACGGGUGAAAGCAGGGGAUCUUCGGACCUUGCGCGAUUGAAUGAGCCGAUGUCGGAUUAGCUAGUUGGCGGGGUAAAGGCCCACCAAGGCGACGAUCCGUAGCUGGUCUGAGAGGAUGAUCAGCCACACUGGAACUGAGACACGGUCCAGACUCCUACGGGAGGCAGCAGUGGGGAAUAUUGGACAAUGGGCGCAAGCCUGAUCCAGCCAUACCGCGUGGGUGAAGAAGGCCUUCGGGUUGUAAAGCCCUUUUGUUGGGAAAGAAGAGCAGCAGGUUAAUACCCCGCUGUUCCGACGGUACCCAAAGAAUAAGCACCGGCUAACUUCGUG